rfam:Schistosoma haematobium scaffold2239_1, whole genome shotgun sequence.
AUCCAGGUGACGAGUCACAAACAGGACGAAACGCGCGUCAAACUGGAU